rnacentral:rRNA from 1 species
AUUGAACGCUGGCGGCAGGCCUAACACAUGCAAGUCGAGCGGUAGCACAGAGAGCUUGCUCUCGGGUGACGAGCGGCGGACGGGUGAGUAAUGUCUGGGAAACUGCCUGAUGGAGGGGGAUAACUACUGGAAACGGUAGCUAAUACCGCAUAACGUCGCAAGACCAAAGAGGGGGACCUUCGGGCAUCUUGCCAUCAGAUGUGCCCAGAUGGGAUUAGCUAGUAGGUGGGGUAACGGCUCACCUAGGCGACGAUCCCUAGCUGGUCUGAGAGGAUGACCAGCCACACUGGAACUGAGACACGGUCCAGACUCCUACGGGAGGCAGCAGUGGGGAAUAUUGCACAAUGGGCGCAAGCCUGAUGCAGCCAUGCCGCGUGUAUGAAGAAGGCCUUCGGGUUGUAAAGUACUAUCAGCGGGGAGGAAGGCGAUAAGGUUAAUAACCUUGUCGAUUGACGUUACCCGCAGAAGAAGCACCGGCUAACUCCGUGCCAGCAGCCGCAGUAA